rnacentral:tRNA from 1 species
GCCCCCAUAGCUCAGUGGAUAGAGCAACUGUUUCCUAAACAGUAGGUCGCAUGUUCGAGUCAUGCUGGGGGCA